rnacentral:lncRNA from 1 species
AACGGUCAGUCUGGAAUCUCGGCCUCAGCAGUGGGACCACCCGGAGGGGUGGGGGUACAUGUUCGAAAGAAAAGGACUCACUUAAAUGGAGAAACCCGGAUUAGGAAAGAGAGAAAGCAGCGGCAGCAGACACGGGCAGUUUGCUGGACCUCACAGAGGUGAUUGAUGCAGCAUCCCCCCGGGAGCCGGGUGAAAUCACAGACUCCAGCAGCAGCUUCUGAGAUGACUGUGGCUAACAAAUUUUUCCAGCAACACAGAGCUGAGAGGAUUGGGAUCUCAGAGAAGAAGGAGCCCUGCAUUCUUGGCUUCAUCUGCCUGGAGUGGAGUUUCCAUCAUGCUGAGCUGGAGGUGCACGGGGCCAGGGAAUGAGCAAGUCGUAGCUCAAAUGUCCCAGACUCUUACUAUUCUUAUUGAAAUUUAGUAGGUUUUCUUGAAUAAAUGUUUCUUCAUCUGCUGUAUGCCCUUAGGACAAUUCCCAGGAACAUACAUCUAUAUUGAUAUCAAUAUAAAUAUAAAUAGAUAAUUAUGUAUGUAUAACUUUAGCAGUUUUACUUGUUCUGCUGGAAAGAAGGUCUGGAAGGUUUGCAGAGCUGCUCAUGCCACCAUUCCAGAAGUUAUCCACCAGUUCAUUGCUUUUUGCACAGUAGUAUUCCAUUGCAUGUCUAUGCCACAAUUUGUUUAUCCAUUCACCUGUUGAUGGACAUUUGAGCUGUUUCCUGUUUGAGGCUAUUACAAAUAAAGCUGCUUUACAAAU